rnacentral:lncRNA from 1 species
UCCGUGAGUGCCUCCAGCUGCUCGUUCUAUACUCGCUUUAUAGUAGACAGAAGACUAUAUAAUGAUGAUUUUACGCCUGAUCUGAUGGAUGAUUUGGGUGUGUGUGUGUCAGCCGGCACGGACAACUCGGACGAGGCAAGGGACUUCGACCUGCCCCUGAAGAACCGGUUCUACCUGCAGCCGCUGCCACCGGCGCAGGCGGCGGUCCGGGCCCAGGACAUCCUCAACCUCAAGCCGCUCAUCGACAAGAAGCAAUGGCCGUACGUCAUGAACGACCUCCGCCUCAGGGCCUCCUACCUGCGCUACGACCUCAAGACCGUCAUCUCCUCCAAGACCACCAAGGAGG